rnacentral:rRNA from 1 species
CGCGAUUCGCCCUUGGGGUGCACCAGGCGCGAAAACUUUACAAUGCUGGCAACAGCGAUAAGGGGACCUCGAGUGCCAGGAUACAAUCUUGGCUGUCGUGAUGCCUAAAAAGCAUUGCAUAGCAAGGGCCGGGCAAGACCGGUGCCAGCCGCCGCGGUAACACCGGCGGCUCGAGUGGUAACCGCCAUUAUUGGGUCUAAAGGGCCUGUAGCCGGCCGGAUAAGUCUCUUGGGAAAUCCGACAGCUCAACUGUCGGGCUUUCAGGGGAUACUGUUCGGCUCGAGGCCGGGAGAGGUGAGAGGUACUUCAGGGGUAGGGGUGAAAUCUUGUAAUCCUUGAAGGACCACCAGUGGCGAGGGCGUCUCACCAGAACGGUCCUGACGGCAAGGGACGAAAGCUAGGGGCACGAACCGGAUUAGAUACCCGGGUAGUCCUAGCCGUAAACGAUACUCGCUAGGUGUCGGCCACGGUGCGACCGUGGUCGGUGCCGUAGGGAAGCCGUGAAGCGAGCCACCUGGGAAGUACGGCCGCAAGGCUGAAACUUAAAGGAAUUGGCGGGGGAGCAC